rnacentral:rRNA from 1 species
GGGGGGGGGGGGGGGGGGGCGGGGGGGGUGGGGGUCGGGGGGGCGGACGGGGGGGUGGCUGGUAGGGGGUUCGGGGGGGACGGGUGAGGACCACGUGGAUAACCUACCUAUCAGACUGGUAUGACUUCGGGACAGCGGAGCUACUACCGGAUAAUAUAUUGCCCCGCGUGGUUCACUAGUGACAGACGGUUUUGCUGUCACUUCUAGCAUGAUACUGUCCGCAUUCGCCAGUUUGUAAGGUGACUGCUUACAGCGUAGACAAUGCGUAGCCGCACUGAGAGGUGGAGCGGCCACACUGUAACGUCGACACGGUCCAGACUCCUACGGGAGGCAGCAGUAGGGAAUCUUCCGCAAUGGGCGAAAGCCUGACGGAGCAACGCCGCGUGAGUGAUGAAGGUCUUCGGAUCGUAAAACUCUGUUAUUAGGGAAGAACAAAUGUGUAAGGAACUAUGCACGUCUUGACGGUACCUAAUCAGAAAGCCACGGCUAACUACGUG